rnacentral:sRNA from 1 species
UAACAUCGUCUAUAGCCUUUUUGAGAUC